UGGUGGAGUGAUUUGUCUGGUUAAUUCCGAUAACGAACGAGACUCUAUCCUGCUAAAUAGUCACCACGCAAUAAUUACGUGGACUGACUUCUUAGAGGGAUUCGCUACUUAUAGUGGCACGAAAUCGAGCAAUAACA
rnacentral:rRNA from 1 species